UACAGAGGUCUCAAGCGUUGUUCGGAUUCAUUGGGCGUAAAGGGCGCGUAGGCGGCCUCUGCAAGUCGACUGUGAAAUCUCCGGGCUUAACCCGGAAAGGUCAGCCGAUACUGCAGGGCUAGAGUGCAGAAGGGGCAACUGGAAUUCUCGGUGUAGCGGUGAAAUGCGUAGAUAUCGGAAGGAACAUCAGUGGCGAAGGCGGCUAUCUGGACAACAACUGACACUGAGGCACGAAAGCGUGGGGAGCAAACAGG
rnacentral:rRNA from 1 species